GCGGGGCGGCACGCUUGGGUGGGGGGCAGGCCGGGAACCGCCCUGCCCGUCCCCGCGAGAUUUAGCAAGGGAAAGGAGGGGGCUUUGGGCCGUUGCAGCGGAGUCCGGCUCUUCAUAGCUGGAUUCCUGGAAGAGGCUGAGCCCGAGGGAGCCGUCCUGAGAGGGAGUCGGGGAGGGGGCAGCCAGGCCCCACUCCCGCCCUUUGUUUGGGCUCGGCUGCGCUGGCCGCUUCGCUGUCGCCUAGCAACAGCUGCCCUGAGUGCUAAUUGGUUAAGCUCUUGGCAGCAACAACCAAUGGCGCGGUUGUUGCCAUGGGAGGUGCGGCCUGCCGGGCUCUCUUGGGCCCCGCCCGCCGGGACUCCACUGGCCGGGGCGGGCCUGCCGGGUGGGGGGCGGGACGCCAGGGUCCCUGGGGGCGGGUGGCCACGCGGGGCGGGGCUGGGCCGUAGGGCGAGGGUUAACCCGCCCCUCCCCCGUCCACCUGCUGUCCCCUUCCCCCGCGUGCCCUGGUCUGACCCUCGUCCCCUCCUUUCCCCGCCCCUCCCCCUCGGUGGCAGUGGCGGCGGCUGCUGUUGUCACCCACCGGGCCGCCUGUCCCGCUUGCCCUCACCGCCGCGGGGCUGGCUAGGCUAGCCGGGCCGGGGACAGGCGGCCACCUCCUCAUCGCCGCCGCCACCACCACCGCCGCCAUGCUGGCCGCUCGCCCACCGCACUGGGGUCCCCAUCGCGCUCCAGCCCCCCGUGGGCCCAGCGCCAUCCCUGACCCGGGUCUCAGCGGCGGUGGCAGCCGAGGUGCAGGAUGCGAGAAGGCGCCCCCCGGCCGGGCUCCCGCUCCAGGCCUCACGCCCCUGCGGCCCUCUGAGCCCACCAUGGCCGUCCCACCAGGCCAUGGUCCUUUCUCUGGCUUUCCGGGGCCCCAGGAACACACACAGGUACUACCUGAUGUGCGGCUCCUGCCCCGGAGACUGCCCCUGGCCUUCCGGGAUGCGGCCUCAGCCCCGCUGCGCAAGCUCUCGGUGGACCUCAUCAAGACCUACAAGCACAUCAAUGAGGUAUACUAUGCGAAGAAGAAGCGGCGGGCCCAACAGGCGCCACCCCAGGACUCGAGCACCAAAAAGGAGAAGAAGGUCCUGAACCACGGUUAUGAUGACGACAACCACGACUACAUUGUGCGCAGUGGCGAGCGCUGGCUAGAGCGCUAUGAGAUUGACUCUCUUAUUGGCAAAGGCUCCUUUGGCCAGGUGGUGAAAGCCUAUGAUCACCAGACUCAGGAGCUGGUGGCCAUCAAGAUCAUCAAGAACAAAAAGGCCUUCCUGAACCAGGCACAGAUUGAGCUACGGCUGUUGGAGCUGAUGAACCAGCAUGAUACAGAGAUGAAGUACUACAUAGUACACCUUAAGCGGCACUUCAUGUUCCGGAAUCACCUGUGCCUGGUGUUUGAGCUGCUGUCCUACAACCUGUACGACCUCCUCCGCAACACACACUUUCGGGGUGUCUCACUGAACCUGACGAGGAAGCUGGCACAGCAGCUCUGCACAGCUCUGCUCUUUCUGGCCACCCCCGAGCUCAGCAUCAUCCACUGCGACCUCAAGCCUGAGAACAUCCUGCUCUGCAACCCCAAGCGCAGUGCCAUCAAGAUCGUGGACUUCGGCAGUUCCUGCCAGCUUGGCCAGCGGGCGGGGGCUUUGUCUUCAGUUGAUUCUCCCAGUGGAACCAGCAGGGGAGCUGGUGCCCUGACUACUGUCCCCUCCCCCAGAUCUACCAGUAUAUCCAGAGCCGCUUCUACCGCUCACCCGAGGUGCUCCUGGGUACACCCUAUGACCUGGCCAUUGACAUGUGGUCCCUGGGCUGCAUCCUCGUGGAGAUGCACACCGGAGAGCCCCUCUUCAGUGGCUCUAAUGAGGUGGACCAGAUGAGCCGUAUUGUGGAGGUGUUGGGCAUCCCUCCCGCACCCAUGCUGGAACAGGCACCCAAGGCUCGAAAGUACUUUGAGCGGCUGCCUGGGGGUGGCUGGACCCUACGAAGGACAAAGGAACUCAGGAAGGAUUACCAGGGCCCUGGGACACGGCGGCUGCAGGAGGUGCUGGGCGUGCAGACGGGCGGGCCCGGGGGCCGGCGGGCGGGGGAGCCCGGCCACAGCCCCGCCGACUACCUCCGCUUCCAGGACCUGGUGCUGCGCAUGCUGGAAUAUGAGCCCGCCGCCCGCAUCAGCCCUCUGGGCGCUCUGCAGCAUGGCUUCUUCCGCCGCACGGCCGACGAGGCCACCAACACGGGCCCGGCAGGCAGCAGUGCCUCCACCUCGCCGGCGCCCCUUGACACCUGCCCCUCCUCUAGCACCGCCAGCUCCAUCUCCAGCUCUGGAGGUUCCAGUGGCUCCUCCAACGACAACAGAGCCUACCGAUACAGCAACCGAUAUUGUGGGGGCCCAGGGCCCCCCAUCACUGACUGUGAGAUGAACAGCCCCCAGGUCCUACCCUCCCAGCCUCUGCGCCCCUGGGCAGGGGGUGAUGUGCCCCACAAGACACAUCAAGCCCCUAUCUCUGCCUCAACAUUGCCGGGGACUGGGGCUCAGUUACCCCCAUUGCCCCGUUGCCUUGGACGACCCCCAUCACCAACAUCACCACCACCCCCAGAGUUGAUGGAUGUGAGCCUGGUGGGCAGCCCUCCAGACUGCUCUCCACCUCCUCCAGCACCUGCCCCCCAGCACCCGGCUGCCUCAGCCCUCCGGACUCGGAUGACAGGAGGUCGACCACCUCUCCCACCCCCUGAUGACCCUGCCACUCUGGGGCCUCGCCUGGGUCUCCAUGGUGUACCCCAGAGCACAGCAGCCAGCUCAUGACCCUGCCCCCUCCCUGGGGCCCCUCCUGAAGCCAUACCCCCCCAUAUGGGGGCCCUGGGCUCCCAUCCUCAUCUCUCCCCUUGACUGGACUUGCUGCUACCCAGCUGGGGUGGGUGAGGCCUGCACUGACUGGGGCCCAGGGCAGGGGGUCAAGGGAGAGGAGUUUGGCCGCACCCUCCCCACUAAGACUGGACCCUUGGCCCCUCUCUUCCCCCUCCCCCCUUGUUUUCUAUUUAUUGUACCAAAGACAGUGGUGGUCCGGUAGAGGGGAGAUUCCCCCUUACCCAGGGCCCUAGGAGGGGGUGGGGGCAGGUAGGGGGAGAUGGCCUUGCUCCUCCUCGCUGUACCCCCCAGUAAAAAGCUUUCUCACAUGCCUGCCUGAGCGUUUGCAGGGCCUUGGCUCCCUCCCCUGACCCUCAGAGGCAUGGUGGGGAAGGUUGUGUGGGGAAGGGGUGCUUUGUGGUGUGGGUAUAUCCCUUCUGGGGACAUCAUAGUUCUUGGUGCAGGCAUGGGGCAGCAGGAGAUUGGUGGGCUGAGAAGCCUGGAUACAAGAAUCCUGGCCUGUUGCUAGGAAAUGUGAUGGUCUGCCCUCAUCGGUCAGGGCUUCCACAGAGUCCACGCAGAAGUGGCUUUUUUUCUUUUUUUUUUUUUUUUUUUCCUGUCAGGCAGGCAUUCGGUAGGUUGUGGGUAUAUUCAGCAGGCUGCCUUAGGUACCAUCGGGGGAGCAGACAGACAGUGGGUACAGAUUUUACCCAACCCGUUUCCAGCCCCACUCUGCAGUCAUUUCGAGUAUUGAGAUUCUCGAGCAAAAAGACGCUCCCUGACCUCCAGGUAAGUGAUUUUUUUGUUUCCAUGGCAAUUUGGAACCAACUGUCUCCCAACCAGUUUGUAAGACUCACUUGGCUCUCCCACAAGGGAGGGUGUGGUGACUCCUGGGAGAUGGAGUUCUACAAGGCCAGCUCUUUGCUCACUUUUCUUUGGGAACUACAAAGCCCAGAAGUCUCUGCACACAUGGCUGGGGACUGGUGUUCAAUAAGCUGUAGGGCAUUAUUGCUUAGAUGUUGGAGGAUCCAUAGUACAGGUUGAUUGGAUGCUGCUGGUGCCCAGGAGUAGGAUGGGUAGGGAGAGAGAGUAGUCAGCCAGCCUUACAGGGCCAAGCAGUGGAGGCUCCAUGUAGAGAACUCUGGUGAGCAAGAGCCUGUUGUGGAAACUGAUGGCAGUGGUCAUUUUGAGAAUGCCAUUUAAGAUUUAUCAGAGAUCUUUUGUUAUCUAGAAAGCUGGACUUUUUCACAGGGACUGAGACACCAUGAGAGGAAGGUGCACAGCCCAGUUUUGCCACAACAUGGAAGUAUGUUGCCAGGAAAAGGUAGCUUGUAGCAGGCCCCUAGGCAAGAUGUGACGGCCAUGGGUUGGGGGGGGUGCUAAGAAGACCAGGAAAGGGCAGGUGUUUUCCAGACACCUGAGGUGAAGGAAGAGACGGAGACAAGCAGAGGAGGGGAGGGCUCCAGUAUAUAGAGCACCCCAGCCCCUAUUAACAGAGUCUUGGUUAGUGUUUUGUUUUUUAAUUAUGUGUUCUCUUGGUGCUGGGGAUGGAAUCCAGGAAAUCCCAGAUGCUAGACAAGUAUUCUGCGUACUCAGCCUCCCAGUAAAAGGAUUUUGAAUGAACAGUUUUAGAAGACAGGAACUGCAGUGACCUUUCCAAAUUUGGGGAUAAUGUGGGCAAAUAAAGUUACUUUUCUAAGGUCACACAACUAGGAAGUAGGCUCAGGUUGCUGUGCAUGUGUGCGUGCAUUCGUGUGUGUGUGUGUGUGUGUGUGUGUGUGUGUGUGUGUGUGUGUGUGUGUGUGUGUGUGAGAGAGAGAGAGAGAGAGAGAGAGAGAGAGAGAGAGAGAGAGAGAGAGAGAGAUCUAGUUGUCAAUUGAACAAGGUGUAUUUGAGCCUGGAGGCAUGAGCAGGGCUGGUUCCUGCGGACCCUGUGAGGACUGUGGGAUGGGCAUGGGUGUUGUCUAUACUGUGGUUGAGCACCAGUGCCCAGCGCCAGGCUGACUGACUAGCUGAUACCUCCUUGGUAUUUGCAGGGUACUCUUGAGAAGUUCAGGCAGGUGAAAGUCUGUGGCAUCCUCCUCAUUGGUCUUCUGCCCUCACCAUCCCCCAUGUAACCAAAGAGACUCUGAGCACCUAUUUUCCCUCCCUACUGAGAAUCCCUCUGGACUCCAUCUCACUCAGGGUAAAAGUCCAUCCUUUCCAUGACCACUGGGUGGGUCUUCACCAUCCACCCUCAUCACCUGUCUGAAUUAGUUGACGCUCCCUCUGCUCCAGCCGCAAUGGGCUCAGCCUUUGCACGUGGUAUUCUGUGCCUGGAUCAUUUCUCUGUAGACAGCCCAGACUCACUGCCUGACUGCUCUUCUGAAUUACACUUCUAACAUCCCUGAUCAUUCUUCCUUUAACUUUUUCCUUGUAUCAGUUAUAUUGUGUGGCACAUGUUAAAAUUUAUCUUGUCAACUGUCUCCCCUUCUGGGAGGCCUUGAACUUCUUGGAAGCAAGUAUUUGGGUCACUUUAUGCUUUAUCUCCCACUUUGAAGAAUAUGUAACACCCCCUCAGGCUCACUGUCAGAUGAGUACUUUCAAGAGUAGAUCCUGAUUCCAGUCUCCUGGGAUGUCCCACAUCCCCUUCUAUAUAGUGAACGUUGCUGAAUACUCCAGUGGUGAACAAUGUGGAAACACAACAGAGAAGAAAGGAUGGUUGGCUCUGCCUUGAAAGACUUCAGUCUCAAGGUAGAGUCAGGUGGCACAGCAGUGGGGAGUGACUAGGAUCAAAAGCAUUGAAGUCUGGAUUAGGGAUUUCUAAUCUGGCUCCUGGGAAGACUGUCUAGACCAUAGGCUUAGCAUCAGCUCUAUUCAGAGAGAAGUGUGCGUGUAUGUGAUGAUUGGCACCCAGAGGCUAUCGAACAUGGGGCCAUACCUUGUCCAUCCUGUGUGUUCAUCUAUCCCCCCUCCCCUGUGUUCUCCCUCAUCCCCAUCCCCACGUUGUCCCAUACCAACCCCACCUUACCUCGCCCCAUGUGUGGAGAGUUGCAGCAGAAUUUUAAUCAGUGGGACAGAGUGUAAGGUUAGCUGUGUUGGCAUUUUGUUCAUUUUAGAUUUGUGUGCAUGCAUAUUUUGCCGUGUUUGUGCCUUGUGCCCUCAGAAGUCAGAAGACGGCAUGGGAUCCCCUGGACCUGGAGUUAGGGAUAGUUGCAGACUUCUUUGUGGGUGCUGGGAACUGAACCCAGGUCCUAUGGAAGAGCAGCCAGUGCUCCUAACCACUGAGCCAUCUCUCCAGCCCCAGUUGUAUAUUUUUAAAGGUAUCCUCGGAUGGGUAUUACAAUGGUUACACUUAAAGACAGUCCCUAUUGUCUGGUGUUUCUGCUCAAGAUGAGGAAUCCCUUCCUCUUGAGUAAUGACUGGGCCAGAGUAUUAAUCAACACAAGAACACUGAGCCAAGUGUCCUUAGCAGGUCUGACAGCCUUCUGUGUCACUCCUGGUGUCCUGAUUUGUCUUUUUGGGUUUUUCGAGACAGGGUUUCUCUGUGUAGCCCUGGCUGUCCUGGAACUCACUCUGUAGACCAGGCUGCUGGCCUCGAACUCAGAAAUCCGCCUGCCUCUGCCUCCCAAGUGCUGGGAUUAAAGGUGUGCGCCACCACCUGGCUCCCUGAUUUCUUUAUAGAGGUCCAGCAUCUGCCCUACCUAUUUCAGCUGUGCCAGGCAUGUGCAUGGCAUGGUGGAUCUUCUAACUUAGGCAACAAUAUCCCUAGAGCAUAGACGUGAGUCGUCCUCAAGCCACUCCUCAGCCUUGCCCAUAUCCCAGAAUCAUGAAAUAAGCAAUUGUGGUUUUAUUACACUGUUCAGGAUGAUUUGCUUCUCAAUACUAGCUAACCAGUCAUACAAUGGUAAGAUUGUGUAAUGUUAUAUGAUAGCUAACUGAAUCCUCAUAACUAAGUAGUACUGUUGUCAUAUCCAUCCUACAGAUGAAAAAUGAAGGCACAGAACAGGUGUCACUAAAGUGUUGCAAGAUCCUUAUCCAUAGUAAGUCCCAAGGACUCAGUCAUUACUAUCAACAUGGCAUCUGUCAGCAUUAAGGUCUUUAUAGGUGUUGAGGAGGUGGUGGGCGGGUGAGCGGCAGUCCUAGGAGAGUAGUUGUAGGCUGUUCCCUUGGCAAGAUGGGAAGAGCAGCCCAUCCUUGGUGGUAUCGUAAUGCCAUGGAGUCAGUUUGCUUCUGACUUGCUCAUAGGGAAUGCAGCAGGUUGUUGUAGAGCCAAGUUAAAUUGGGAUUCUUGUUACUGGGAAGCCAUGAUGUCCUAGUGAACUGUUGCUCCUGUUCGUUGAUUCUUCAGAUCACAGUGCCAUUUUGUGAGCACUGUUGGGGGAUGCCAGUGCUACAGCAGACAAGUGCCCUGCCAUUCCAAAGCCUGCAUCCCAGAGGCAAGAGGAAUGUUAGCAAAGAGCCAUGGAUACUGAGAGUCGGAGGGCCGGAGACAGGAGAGCUCUAUAAGGGGGGCAUCUUUGAGGAAAACGUUAAAGAACUAGGCCAAAGGGAAGGAAAACAUCCCCGCUAGGAAAAGAAAGCUAGAGAGAACAGAAAUUGGACAAGAGUGAAGAGGACCAGGACAAAGUCCAUGAGGAGAUGUCAUAAGGGCUUGACUCUGGCACUGAAUAACAUGGAAAGCAACAGCCUCUUUGAGCACUGAGCUCUGAGGUGUGGGCAGAGGUUGGAAGCAUCCCAGUGGCUAGUCCAGCUGGUGUUGAUGCAUGUGGUUUGUUUUGACCUUAGUGGUAGCAGAAGAGGUGGUCAGUUAGGUGUGGGAUGGAACAGCAGCCUGAGUGUAGGAAGGAGGAACGAUGCUGGCCUAUGAAUGGGAAAGAGCAGCAGGUAUAGGCACAUUUGACAAUGGUCACCGUAUUGCUACUGUGAAAUCCCUGAGAGGUCGCCGAAGGGGAAGACGGAGCCCAGGACUGGAAAGCCACAUUAACCUCUGUGUAGGAUGACUAGUGUGGAGCUUUCUGGGUCUGAAUAGUGUUGAAUUCAGAACUCCCUACCUCUUCUUGGUUGGUCCUGAGCUUUGAAAGCAAGAGAAGUCCCUCCUGGGAGUAGAGCUUGAGUCAGAACCUGGGACAGCACCUGACUCUCUGGCUGCUAGACUGAGGCUGGCCCCUGCCUCAGCAUCUACUGCUUCCUCUUUCUGAGCAGGUGGUUAGCUGCUCUUGGGGAAAACUCUUGCCCCAGCUCUGUGUGGCCUUCCUGUCUUGCUCCCUGCUACUCUUCCACUCUUGGUCCCACUUCAGCUAACCAGGGUUGAAUUGCAAGGGCCAGGAGUUCAGGUCUGCAGUGGCUGAUGUAUAUCUACUGCAAAGGGCUCUGUGACCCCGAGUCUCAGUUACAAUGUACUGACAGUUGGUCAAAGAUUUGAACCUGUUUUUUUUUUUGUUGUUGUUGUUGUUUCUUUUUGUUUGGUUAUUUUUUUUGGUUUUUUUUUGGGGGGGGGUUGUUUUUGGCAGGGGAGGUCCUCUUAUGUGUGUGAAUCUGAGAAGUGGUAGGCAUGCCUGUAGAACAUAGUCUAGCAGGCUCUGAGCUGAGAAAGGCUCACAGUUAGGUCAGGAGCAUUUCUUCCCACAUGUGUUCCUGUGACCCAGAUAUAGUGAUGGCAGGCCUGGCCAGCCUCUGCCUUCACCAAACACACGAGCCAGUGGGAAGGCAGGCUGUCUGCAGACAGUGGUCAAGGCUGAGAUGGGCAAACAGACUUGAGUGAGUCAUGGUGGCAAGAUCUUUAGGUUGCAAAGGGCUAUGGGAACCUGGAGGCCAUGCCUGGCCCAGUCCGAGGUAUCUGAGAUAGGAGAUGGGAGUGAGGCGUACAGGAGUCAGAUGGUGGCUGGGGACCACUGAAGCCCAGUCAGUAGGGAGGAAACUGUCAUUCAGUAAUUUUAGGUUUGUAGAAAAGUGUCAGAGAUUGUGCAGAAACUGUCCCCAGAUGUACCCCGCUCCCCUGGUGUCAGUGUCAGAUGUACCCCGCUCCCCUGGUGUCAGUGUCUUCUAGGACAUACCCACCAAAGCUAGGACAUCCGCGCCUGCUCCCGUUUUCUAAGCCUAUCUCUCCCAUUUGCCUCUGAACAUGCUUUUUCUGUUCCAGCUCUGGCCCCGGGGCCACACUGCACUGAUCGUCAGUCCCACUCCGGGGCGAUCCCUCCAGCCUUCUCUUCUCUAGGGCAGUCUUGAGUGGUGGCAGUCAGCAGUCAGAGUGCCGCUCUGUCUGCGUUUGUUAAGCAUUUCCUCAGGGUUGCAUAGGGAAUGUAAAGCUGGAAAGACUACUAAGGUAGUUGACCUUGGCCUUCAUUCAGGGUGUCUACAGGUUUCCCCGGCUCUAGGAUUAUUGUGUCCACUUCCACUGUCUUUCUGUAAGAAUGGUCACGAACUUCAUCUCACACUCAAAGUAAGGGACACUUAAGCUCUAAUUCCUGGAGAGAAAACUGUCACGAGGAUUUGUGUCCAUAUGUUAAAACUACUCCAGCACAAUAGCCUGCUUUCUGUUACUAUAGCAAAGUACCUGAGACUAGGUCAUGUAUAAAGAGCUCAGUUCAGACUUGAGGUAGAUGCCACCAUGUCUGAAAGGGGUCAGCAGUAAGACAGGCAGCCAGACAGUGAGGAAAGGCCAGGCUUGCUUUUGUAUAAUGCUCAUGGGGACUAACUGGAGUCUCAUAGAGAGCACACCCCCAGUGACAUCGUUACGGUGAAGAUGAAGCUUCCAGUAAAUGCCCCUCUGAGCACUGUUCACACCUUCCAGGGCUAAUAUACAGUAAUUGGCAGACUCAGAGGACACUGGGGCUGUGACACUGUCCCCUGCCCCUGAGUGUCACCACUGCUGGCACUCCUCACCAGUGGCUCUGGCCUGUGACAUUCUAAUAAGAAUUAUUGUAUUUUUGUUGUUGUUAGUUUAUUUCUAUAGUGGCUGUGUUGGCAUGAACUCAAGGUGUCCAUUUCGUAGCUGUCUGACCCAGUGUUGCUCUGACUGUUUUGUCCAAGCUGCUGCUGCCUUCCGGGCAGGCUCCUGCAUCCUCCCUGUUUUCUCUCCUUGUGUUUUCUCUGUGCCCCUGCACCGUGUCACAGAUUCAUGGGCUUUUUUCCAGGCAGCUCUGAUCCCUUCUACUGGAGAACAGUGUUAGACUCAGGUCUAGGCAUGGGGUGUGCCACUACUUCCUGUCCUAGCUGGUGCUGCCUAGGGUAUCACUCAUCUGUAGCCUCCCACACGCACAUCUCUGUAUCCCUCUGUUCAUGCCUCUGACUCAGGUCAGCACCUAGGAGCCACACAGAUUCCUGCUUCCUUGGGACCUUCUAGAUGGCAAGCAAACUCCUUUGUGUGCUUUUCGUUCUUGUCUGGUCAUCUUGGCAGAAGCUAGCAGCAUGACCAGGCCUGCAUGUGAAGCACUUCUCUCUGCAGCCAGACUUUGCCUGCCAUUCUGCUGACCCCAGAGACAGCAUCUAGCAAGUCCCAGUGUUUCACCAUUUACUUACUGUCUGGGAGCUCUCCUCGCUCGCCUCAACUUCUAGCAGUCUCACAAUCACAGUCUUGUUUCCUACCUGUGCUGGUAUGUCUCCUCGUCUCCUCCUACUCUCGAGGCUUGUGAAACACCCUCUGCCCCUGGUAGUCCUUGGGCUGUCAGCUCUGUAUGCUGCCUCACCCUGCCCUCUCUCAGAGUGACCCUUGAGUGGCCACCGGCUCACCCAGCCUGUCCACAGGGGCUUGCAUCUCCCUUCUGCCACUCUGCCUCACCCAUUGCCGUCCUCCCACUCCCAACCCCCAUUUUCAGCCCUGUUAAACUCUGUGGGAAACCACUAACUCAGAAGCUCCCCAGUGUGUAGCCACAAGGAAACAGACCUCCAGGAGUCUGUUCAUUCCUGCAGAGGCCCUAUAGAGUGGGGGGAAAGGAGGUCUGCCUCUGUGUCUGUCAUGGUCGGCCCUGGGUGUCCUCUUGAGUCACAUCUGCACCACAGCUCCUGUCUCUUAAUACAUGUUGGAGCUGCCCCUCCAGGAACCUUCAGAUGUCACCAUCCCUGCCUAGAGUCAGGGCUCUGCUGUGUGUCACAGCAUCCAGAGUAGCUGACAGAUUCUCUGGGUGUUGGCCACAUUACAAGUCUGCCACUGUGGAGUCUGGCUGUGAGGACAGCAAGUUGGUGACCAUGAGCUGUCAGUAUGGCCAUUUGAUCCAUCUUAGAAUGACCAGUGUGGUGACACAGACCUGUCCCAGCACUUGAGAGGCAGAUGAUCACAAGUUUUGAGGCCAGCCUGGUUUCAGAAGCCCAAAGUAUACCAAUAACUGCCGACCAUGUCACAGUAGCUUCCCCAAGCCAGGCACAGGCUUGAGCCUUUGUAGGCUUGUGUUCAGUUACUGCUUAGUCUUCCCAGAAGAUGUGCUGGGGAUAGGGCCUGGGCCUGGAGACUCAGCCAUACCAUAGACAAGAUUCAGUCACCUUGGAACAGGCUCUCAAUAAGGCAUCUGGAGUUUAAACUUAUCACCUGUUUUGUUUAAGACAGGAGUCUUGGAGCUGGAGAGACAGCUAGGCAAUUAAGAGUACUUGAUGCUCUAUAGAGGACAGAGCUUCAGCUCUUUAUGUGGCGGCUCACAGCCAUCCAUAACUUUAGUUCCAGAGACUCCAAUGCCCUCUGCUGACCUCUAUAGUCACCAGGCACACAUGCAUAUAUGCAGGCAGAACAUUCAUACACAAAAGAUACUAUUUAAAAGCCAGGUAUAGUGGAUCAGCCUUUAAUCCCAGCAUUUGGGAGCUAGAAGCAGGCAGAGCUCUGAAUUCAGGUCCAGCCUGGAUCUAUAGAGAGAGUUCCAGGGCACCUGGGCGCUACACAGUGAGACCUGUCUGAAAAAAAAAAGAGAGAAGGCAAGGCUGGGGAGCCCAGCUUUACCUCAGACUCACUGUAGUUUGACCUUGACCCCUGACUCUCCUGCUUCCACCUCCCAGCCUGCUGGGUCUCCAGGCCUGCGCCUAUGACCAGGCUCAAGCCUUUUUCAGAUAGAAAGGCAGGCAUCCUGGGCCUCUGGGCGUGCCUUUAACCACUUUCUUCCUUGGAGCUCUGGUUUUUUUUUUUGACUUCUCCCUUUAGGAAGAGCUUCAGUGCCUUCCUUCACCAGCGGCUAAAACUUUCCUUUGUCUUCAGUUGUCCUGAAGAAAAAGGAAUUCUUCAUUUCAGGGAAGUUUAAACACCUAAAAGCAGAAAGCCCUAAUAUACUCCUGUCCUAAUAUAAAUCCUGCUGUCAUCUUUAACUGCUGACUUCACCCCUCCCCAACCCCUCUGCUUGCUGUCCUAGCAAACUCAAGUAUGUCUAAUAAAGGGGCUUUUUAUUUUAUUUUUUCCUUUUUGAGACUGUCUCAGUGUAGCCCUGGCUGAUCUAAAACUUCCUCUGUAGACCAGGCUAGUCUUGAACUCACAGAGCUUCCACCUGCCUCUGCCUCCCAAGUGCUGAGAUUAACAGUGUGUCCCACCAGGCCUGGCUACUGGAAGGGCUUUUUAAGGAAAGGCUCACCAUGAUGUGAUUCUUUGACCCAAGUUACUCAUCUGCUGGCCAGCUGAGUCCCUUCCUAGUCCUCGGUUCCCUUUCUCCUACUUUUCUUUGCAUGGUGUCGUGUCGCCCUGGAGAUCUUCCUGUAACCUUACACUCAGGGCCUGUCUCCUCGACUCUCUGCUGAAAGUGAUCCUUCUUAAAGAUGGGCCAGGUUGUUUGGCAGUCAUGUCCCCUGGAGUAGGACAUUUAAUCUGCCCGUGGCGGCUUGCCACGGUUGUGGCCUCUUCCCUUAUUUGGCUUCGUUUCUGGAUCCCUGUCCACUCCGGCCAGGUCAGGCCUCCUGGGGUGCACCUCGCUUGCUCGCUCUCUCGCCCGCUGUAACUUUGUGCAGAGCACACAGCAUCCAUACUAGUCAAAGGGAGCAUGAAUGAUGGCCGUUGCCUGCUGGGAGCUUCAAGAGGGAAUAAAUGAGGCCAGUCUGCCCUGCUGUGUCCCAGUACCACCCAGACCACCCACCACGGGGCCCAGCACUCAGUGCUCAGGAGCCAUGUCCAGAAUGAGUGAUGUUAGGAUGGUGGGUGGGUGGCUGGGUGGGAUGGAUGGAUGGAUGCUUGUCAAGCUCAGAAGUUAGCCACUUACCAUGAAAGCAAUAGGCAGCCACAGAAGUGUGUGCAGCAGAACCGGCCCAUUUCCUCAGCCUUGAAUGUGCAUUUGAAUUCUCUGGGACAUGGGAAGGGCCCAAGAUACCACACUUCUAAGGGGCCCAAGAUGUGAUGGCCUGAGACAGCAAGGGCCUUGAUGUGCUGUUCAGUCAGUAGUGACCAGGACCAGUGUCUUAGAGCACUUGAGAAUGUGGCUCGUGUGAAUUGAGAUAUAUUUUAAGUGUAAAACGCCCACCUGAUUUGAAAGAUGUGGUACAAAAAAUAAUUUUUAUAUUGCUCACAUGUUGAUAUGGUAAUAUUUUGGAUAUCUUGGGUUAAAUAAAAUAUAUUAUUAAAAUUAA